AGUCUCUCUGCCCUUAUAGCAGCCUGUCCACUGUCCUCACAGCAGGGGAGAGCUGAUCAAUGCUCCUUCAUGCUGUGCUCAUUGCCCUGUCCUUAGGGUGGUCUGAGAAUCCCAUCCCCCCCCCCCUUUUUCCAGAGACAGAACAUAGUCUAGACUCACCGGGCAGGAGGAAGUCAGAAAACCCUGUUCUUUAUUUUUUUAAAUUAAGUUUACUGGUACAUUUUAGGUAUACAAUACAGUUACAUUCAUCAUUGGGAUCUUGUACCUUUACAUGAUGUAUCUUGGUUCUUAUUCUUUUCCGAUUCCUCUGCCCUCCCUUCACCCCCUCAAAUCUUCCCUAUUUACAAAGACUUUGUUUCCAUAUUUUUCCUUCUCUAGUAGUUCUGAUCCUUGCUUCACUGAUGGUUUUUCUAGGGCAUGGGGGCAUGGAAACAUCACUUGGUUGCAUGAGCUGCUCAUUCUGUUUUGCAGAAACAGUAAUAUAUUUGGUUUCCCACUUACCUGCCAGAGUGGGUUAGAAUGAAUGAGACUAGAUCUGUCUGGAGAAAGAGGUUAUUUGGACAUCCAGUCUGGUUUCCUCAAAUAGGGCAGCAGAAAGUUGCCAGGGCUCCCCCAAAGGCCAGGCGAGCCCAGGAGACUGGAGCAUUACGCUUUACUCAGACAGUGGAGACCACGCCUGUCUCCCCAAACAGCCCUGUGUGUGUCUGCCUUGAUGAUGCAUUUGUGCCGGUCGGGGAGUUGGACCUGCAGCAGAAGCAAAUGGUUGCCAGUCACCACUUUCCAUACAGAGCAUCAGCCAUGCAGGCUUCUGACUCACACUACACUCACCUGCACUCCGAGACUCGGGCACAGGGAGCUCCGGCUUCCCAGUGUGCUUCCCUUAGUAAUUACAGAGGCCCCCAACACUGCAGCUCACACAGAGCCUGGCCUUUGUGGCUGGAGUCGGACCCCAACACUCUGCUCCCCAAUCGCAUGCCCAGGGUGUGCACUGCCUUCUCUCAUUCUCCUCCCACUGAGGCACUUCCCAGCUGAGUUCUGCCUUGCCAUGCCCCACAUCUCCCACAAGGGGGAGCCCCCGGAGGGCAACUGGGGCUGAGGAAUUUUGGAAGCGCUGAAGUUUUCGACUCCUGUCCUGCAACUGGUUUUCACUCACCCAACGCAUUCUAAACUAAGAAGGAAAAGUAAUAAAGACAUGCAGGACUCACAGGCCCUGGAUGAAGACUGCCAGCCUCAGACAGAACCAGCACGUCUGAGGGACAACCAGGAGGUGCCUUUGGCUGUGGAGCUCAGGAUAUGAAUCAGAGAGAAAGAACUGAAGACUUGUCCCAGGAAGAAAGGGGAGGACUGGCAGUAGAUUUUUCACUGGUUUGUCUUUGGAAAAGACUGAGAAGAACUGACACCAGUGAAUUAUUUGAAGAUAUGGGUCUACAAGAUGGAUGCAGAUUUAAAAAAUAAGAUUCCUAAGAAGUUACCUUUUUCAGCUCCCACUCUGUUCUCCAGGAGACACAGGGGCAGGAAGAACAUAGCAUGCUCAUUAACGCUGAUGACCCUGACCUGACUGGAACCCAAGAUGGCGUGUUGGCCAGCAGCGUGGAAUCAGUGGAUUCUUCAAUGGAGACAGGUCGAAUUGUGUCACAUCCAGGAAGUCACUUCUGUGAAUGAUAAUUCUAUAGUGUUUCACUGCUUGUGCACUUUCCUCAUGUUCAUGUUCUCAGAGAUAUGAAAUGGCACAAGGUAAAUUAGCACAGAAGAUUUGGGGCCGGGGCAUGACAAAUUAAAAGCAUGACUGAAAGUAGCUUAUGAUAUUGAUGGAAUUCUCUGUGGACUGGGGAUGAUGUGACUAGAGAAAGAAGAAAGCUGCUGAAGUUUUCCAAGAGGUGAAGAGAAAAAGAAAUUACAUGAAGACAAUAGUGAAAGCAGAGAAGGGACAGAUAGAAGAUAUGCUGCACAGAAGAGCAAUAGGAUUCUAUAACUAAAAAUGGAUUUGGGGAGGGAGGAGCAGAAGGGCUGAAGCAAAGAUAACACAUACAAUUUAAAUCUGGAACUAUGAUGCAUAGUGGAUGUAAACUAGAAGAUUGGUAAAUGGAUCUGGUUUAGGUGUGGUUAGGUUUAUUGUUUUUGUAUUUAGCAUAAUGGUGUUGAGUGACUCCUAGUUGAGAGCGUAAGACUUGCCAUUACUAGCAUAAAAAGAAGGGUUUUCUAAGGAGUGAGAUUUUCAGGUAGAAACUUACAGGGCUUCCUUUGUGUCACAGUAGGACUGUAGGAUCCCAGCAGCUGUCAGAACCCUUUGGUUUUUUAGCACAUAAGUGCUUACUGUAAAAGUGAUCCUUUCCAAUGGAACUAAGGGUCACUUAGCUCUGCAGAUCCACUUCAGAUGUUGCAAAUGGUAAAUAUGGUUAGGAAAAUCUUGGAAAUGGAAGUUGGCUAAGAUAAAAUAUGCCCAAGUCAUAGAAUGAGUCAUAGGAAUAAAAUCUUGAAUAUCCUAUUUAGCCAUCAGCAAAUAUCCUGACAAAGCUAUCUACCUACUUUUAAAUAGAACAGCCUUUUUAUGCUUUUCUUUCAAUAGAUACUCAAUUUAUGGUCCUACUGCCUCCCUACACACACACACACACACACACACACACAGAAAAAUGAGUUCAAAAAGAGAAUGAAAAAUAUAUUAACUUGAAACCUGAUUAAUCAGCUUUAGGAGAAGAUCCUAUUAUCAUUAAGCUCUUGAUCAUCAUCAUACUCACACAUUCAUUGAAUGCCUGAUUGUGGUUAUACAAAGAACAUACACACACACACACACACGCACACACAAAUAAAUACAGAGCAGAAGUCACAUGGGCCUGUCCUCUCUGGGUUUAUGGACCCUAUGUAUAAGAGAGAAAACACAGGUAAAUGGCCAUAUAAAAGUGUUUACAUGAGUCCCUCUGCAAUUACAUUUGCAAGGCCGCAGCUAUCCUAUUUUAUCAAGGAAUGUAAUCUCCUGUUGUCUGAGUCACUUCUCUGGUCGGGGAGACAUACUACCCAACACUCACAAUUUGAAGGUGAGAGGUUUAUUUUGGCUCAUAAUUCAGUCCAUAGCUGGCUGACUCCAAAGCAAGACGGCAUGGCACAGGCGCAUGGUAGAUGUCUGAGCAGUGGGGAAGCAGAGAGGGAGUGAAGAGAGGAGCUGGGAUGGGAGGUAUAUCUUUCCAGGUCAAACCCCCAUUAACCCAUCUCUUCUGAUCAGAUCCCACCUCCUAACAGCAAGUCAACUAUAAUGCUCUCAUGAUCCAAUCACCUUUCAAAACUCCAGCCUGUGAGCACAUGAAACUUUUAGGGAACAUCUAGAUAUAAACCAUAACAUCUAUAUAAGUAAAAUUUUAUAAGAAGCAAAGCUUACCUAUUAGGCAUUACAGAAGCUUCUGGCUUUUCAGUCAGUAUAAACAGUUUCUAGCACUUCACUCACUUAAUGGCUAAGGGGCAUCCUUAGGAACAUUCUGUGUUGAUGAAUUCUGUGCUCUCAGUUGCCUUUCUUUGCCUUUUAUCUUUCAGUCAUUUUGGUCUUCAACUGUGGCAGCUACUUUUCCAGGUCUUCACGUGCCAGCCCCUCAGCUGAUCUCCCACUUCACUGGUGAUAUAUUACUCCAGAACAUCUUCAUCCCUACAAAGAAAGUUAACCAGGAUUGUCAUACAAUUGAAAUGGGCCAAUAAUUCUGAGUGAGGCUCCAAGGAGAAAGGCAGCUGGGUGUUGUGGAGAGAUCGAGAUAGCUGCUUGGAACAUUCUAAAGUGUUCUCUAGUAUUAGAUUAGAUGCGGUAAUGCUAGAGUAUUUAGGUAUUCUAAAGUAUCUCCAGCUCAGCCUCCAGAAAGCUGAAGUUGAAGAAAUACUGGUCUCUGGAUGAGAGAGCCGCUGCUGUCUUCACACUGGAGAUUAUUAGCUCCCAAGUUACCUCCUAAUUUAGGGAUAGAAAACAAGAGUAUCAUUCUGGAAAGUGGAGAUAUGAUAGACAUUCCUGAAAUCAACCUGAUAAAAUAAAAAAAAUUACAUAAUGUAACAGUAUAAAAAAUAAAGAUAUCCUACUCCUGUCCUGCAUGCCUUCUCCAAAAUACACAUGUAUAUUGUUAAUUUCCCUGAAGGUCAUUUUCUUACAUCAGAGUAAAGUGGUUUUUCACUCCAC
ensembl:lncRNA